rnacentral:rRNA from 1 species
UACGUAGGGGGCAAGCGUUGUCCGGAUUUAUUGGGCGUAAAGAGCGUGUAGGCGGCCACACAGGUCUGCUGUGAAAACUCGAGGCUCAACCUCGAGCUGUCGGUGGAAACCGUGUGGCUAGAGUCCGGAAGAGGAGAGUGGAAUUCCCGGUGUAGCGGUGAAAUGCGCAGAUAGUCGGGAAGAACACCAGUGGCGAAGGCGGUCUCCUGGGGCAUUCUUGACGCUGAGGCGCGAAAGCUGGGG